rnacentral:rRNA from 1 species
UACGAAGGGGGCUAGCGUUGCUCGGAUUGACUGGGCGUAAAGGGCGCGUAGGCGGUUUGCACAGUCAGACGUGAAAUUCCUGGGCUUAACCUGGGGGCUGCGUUCAAUACGUGUAGGCUUGAGUUCGGAAGAGGGUCGUGGAAUUCCCAGUGUAGAGGUGAAAUGCGUAGAUAUUGGGAGGAACACCAGUGGCGAAGGCGGCUCGCUGGGACGGUACUGACGCUGAGACGCGAAAGCGUGGGGAGCGAACAGG